GUGGGAUUGAACUCGGGGUGAAUUCCUCAGGGCGGAAAUUUCAGGGUGAAAUCCGGGAUGGAACUCAGGACAAACCCAGAGUGACCCCAAACCCUGCAGGGAUUUUGGUGUCCAGGGAAUGGGAUCAUUCCCGGUUAUCCCAAGUUUUCCAGUGAAAUCCCAGAAAUCCUGGGAGAGCAAAGGAGCAACUCCUGUCCUGGAUUUCCUCAUUUCGGGAAUAUCUGAUCCUCUCCCGGAUUUCUGGAAAAUCCAAAUCCUUUCCCGUUUUUUCAGGAAUAUCCGAUCCUCUCCCAGUUUUCCAGCCCUCCCCCAUUCCUGGUUUUUCCGGAGCCAUCUGGGAACAUUGCCAACCCCCUCCCCCCCAUGGAUUCUCCACCUGCUCCAGGAUGGAGCUGGGAUGGAUCCCAGGGUUGGGGAUGGAUCUCGGGAUCUGGGAUGGAUCUUGGGAACUGGGAUGGAUCCGGGGAUUUGGGAUGGAUCCCAGGGUUGGGGAUGGAUCUUGGGAACUGGGAUGGAUCCCAGCCCUCCUGGUGAUCCCAAC
rnacentral:lncRNA from 1 species